AACUCGCUCUGUAGACCAGGCUGGC
rnacentral:piRNA from 2 species